ACCCAAAAUGAAUCAAUAAUUAAUCAAGGUAAGUGUGUUUAUUUUUAUUAUUUUAUUAUGUUGCGCUUCGAAAAAGGAUUUUAAAUGAUAUAUUUUGACUGAGCUGCAUGGCGUGAAUUACCUGUUUCAGACUGUAUGACAACCAGAGAGUUCACAACUUUGCCACCACUGACGAGCAUCAUGAUAGAUAAUUUGCAAACAGGAACAAACUUCGACUGGAAGUUGAUGCAGCAACGUUACAUAUUUAAUCUCAAAUUGAAGCUAUUAACAGGUUGCUGCAUCUUCAUCUGAUGUUGAGAAGACACUCAAUCUACCUGGCAGUCCUCGUCUGAUUUUGCUCAACAUUGCAGGCAAAUAGGAUGGACGAUAAGUCUAGAGGUGCGUAUUAUUUGUGAGUGUGUGCAGUUAAACUUUUUGUAACUACGUUUGCUGUGUACUACAUCUUCAAUCUGCAGUAUCAGGAGGAGGCUUGUUGCACAUUAGAAUUUCUUCAAAGACGCUCAUUAGAAUUAAUCCAGAACGAGGCUCCAAGACAGGCAGAGGGAAUGUAGUCUCCAAGAAGACCGGCAAGGUGGUGAAUAAAACAUAUUCAACAGUUAAUCCUAAAGUUGCCUCUCUACUGAAGAAUCUCAUGGAUUUCGAGUGGGAUUUCAUUUAGACAACCAGACCUGCAUGUGGAGUUGGUCACAGAUGGUGGAAUGUUCUUUGCCUUCAAGCUUUAGAAAAAACUUGAAAUUCAUUGUUUUAAUAAAGUUUUUUAUAAUUAAAGCUUUAUUAAAACAAUGAAUUCAGUUUUUAAAGUUUUUUAUUGUUUUAGAAGG